rnacentral:rRNA from 1 species
UAAUACGAAGGGGGCUAGCGUUGUUCGGAAUUACUGGGCGUAAAGCGCGCGCAGGCGGCUAUCCAAGUCAGUGGUGAAAGCCCGGAGCUCAACUCCGGAACUGCCAUUGAAACUGUUUAGCUUGAGGACGAGAGAGGUGAGUGGAAUUCCCAGUGUAGAGGUGAAAUUCGUAGAUAUUGGGAAGAACACCAGUGGCGAAGGCGGCUCACUGGCUCGUAUCUGACGCUCAGGCGCGAUAGCGUGGGGAUCAAACAGGAUUAGAUACCCUGGUAGUCCACGCCGUAAACGAUGAAUGCUAGCCGUUGGGCAGCUUGCUGUUCAGUGGCGCAGCUAACGCAUUAAGCAUUCCGCCUGGGGAGUACGGCCGCAAGGUUGAAACUCAAAUGAAUUGACGG